rnacentral:rRNA from 1 species
GACGAACGCUGGCGGCGCGCUUAACACAUGCAAGUCGAACGGAAAGGCCCUGCUUUUGUGGGGUGCUCGAGUGGCGAACGGGUGAGUAACACGUGAGUAACCUGCCCUUGACUUUGGGAUAACUUCAGGAGACUGGGGCCAAUACCGGAUAGGAGCUCCUGCUGCAUGGUGGGGGUUGGAAAGUUUCGGCGGUUGGGGAUGGACUCGCGGCUUAUCAGCUUGUUGGGGGGGUAGUGGCUUACCAAGGCUUUGACGGGUAGCCGGCCUGAGAGGGUGACCGGCCACAUCGGGACUGAGAUACGGCCCAGACUCGUACGGGAGGCAGCAGUGGGGAGUAUUGCACAGUGGGCGGAAGCCUGAUACAGCGACGCCGCGUGCGGGAUGACGGCCUUCGGGUUGUAAACCGCUUUCGCAUGUGACGAGGCGUGAGUGACGGUAAUGGGUAAAGAAGCACCGGCUAACUACGUG